UACGAAGGGUGCAAGCGUUAAUCGGAAUUACUGGGCGUAAAGCGUGCGUAGGCGGUUCGUUAAGUCUGAUGUGAAAGCCCUGGGCUCAACCUGGGAAUGGCAUUGGAUACUGGCGGGCUAGAGUGCGGUAGAAGGGUGCGGAAUUCCCGGUGUAGCGGUGAAAUGCGUAGAGGUCGGGAGGAACAUCCGUGGCGAAGGCGGCACCCUGGACCAGCACUGACGCUGAGGCACGAAAGCGUGGGGAGCAAACAGG
rnacentral:rRNA from 1 species